rnacentral:rRNA from 1 species
UACGGAGGGUGCAAGCGUUAUCCGGAAUCACUGGGCGUAAAGGGUGCGUAGGUGGUUCAACAAGUCAGAAGUGAAAGGCAUUGGCUCAACCAAUGUAAGCUUUUGAAACUGUUGAACUUGAGUGCAGGAGAGGUAAGUGGAAUUCCUAGUGUAGAGGUGAAAUUCGUAGAUAUUAGGAGGAACACCAGUGGCGAAGGCGACUUACUGGACUGUAACUGACACUGAGGCACGAAAGCGUGGGGAGCGAACA